rnacentral:rRNA from 1 species
AGCAGCCGCGGUAAUUCCAGCUCCAAUAGCGUAUAUUAAAGUUGUUGCAGUUAAAAAGCUCGUAGUUGAACCUUAGGCCCGUGCGGGCGGUCCGUCCUCUGGGCGAGUACUGCCUCGUCGCGGGUCUCACCUUCUGGCGAGCGUGGAUGCCAUUCAUUUGGUGUCUGCGGGAACCAGGACCUUUACCUUGAAAAAUUAGAGUGCUCAAAGCGGGCUCUUACGCUUGAAUACAUUAGCAUGGAAUAAUGAAAUAGGACGACGGUUCUAUUUUGUUGGUUUCCGGGAUUGUCGUAAUGAUUAAUAGGGAUAGUUGGGGGCAUUCGUAUUCAAUUGGUCAGAGGUGAAAUUCUUGGAUUUAUUGAAGACGGACUACUGCGAAAGCAUUUGCCAAGGAUGUUUUCAUUAAUCAAGAACGAAAGUUGGGGGAUCGAAGACGAUCAGAUACCGUCGUAGUCUCAACCAUAAACUAUGCCGACUGGGAAUCGGGCGAUGUUAUUUUUCGUGACUCGCUCGGCGCCCC